rnacentral:rRNA from 1 species
GCAUCGAUGAAGAACGCAGCGAAAUGCGAUACGUAAUGCGAAUUGCAGAAUUCAGCGAGUCAUCGAAUCUUUGAACGCACAUUGCGCCCGCCAGCAUUCUGGCGGGCAUGCCUGUCCGAGCGUCAUU